UAUACAUGCAAGUCGAACGAGCUUCCGUUGAAUGACGUGCUUGCACUGAUUUCAACAAUGAAGCGAGUGGCGAACUGGUGAGUAACACGUGGGGAAUCUGCCCAGAAGCAGGGGAUAACACUUGGAAACAGGUGCUAAUACCGUAUAACAACAAAAUCCGCAUGGAUUUUGUUUGAAAGGUGGCUUCGGCUAUCACUUCUGGAUGAUCCCGCGGCGUAUUAGUUAGUUGGUGAGGUAAAGGCCCACCAAGACGAUGAUACGUAGCCGACCUGAGAGGGUAAUCGGCCACAUUGGGACUGAGACACGGCCCAAACUCCUACGGGAGGCAGCAGUAGGGAAUCUUCCACAAUGGACGAAAGUCUGAUGGAGCAAUGCCGCGUGAGUGAAGAAGGGUUUCGGCUCGUAAAACUCUGUUGUUAAAGAAGAACACCUUUGAGAGUAACUGUUCAAGGGUUGACGGUAUUUAACCAGAAAGCCACGGCUAACUACGUGCCAGCAGCCGCGGUAAUACGUAGGUGGCAAGCGUUGUCCGGAUUUAUUGGGCGUAAAGCGAGCGCAGGCGGUUUUUUAAGUCUGAUGUGAAAGCCUUCGGCUUAACCGGAGAAGUGCAUCGGAAACUGGGAGACUUGAGUGCAGAAGAGGACAGUGGAACUCCAUGUGUAGCGGUGGAAUGCGUAGAUAUAUGGAAGAACACCAGUGGCGAAGGCGGCUGUCUAGUCUGUAACUGACGCUGAGGCUCGAAAGCAUGGGUAGCGAACAGGAUUAGAUACCCUGGUAGUCCAUGCCGUAAACGAUGAGUGCUAAGUGUUGGAGGGUUUCCGCCCUUCAGUGCUGCAGCUAACGCAUUAAGCACUCCGCCUGGGGAGUACGACCGCAAGGUUGAAACUCAAAGGAAUUGACGGGGGCCCGCACAAGCGGUGGAGCAUGUGGUUUAAUUCGAAGCUACGCGAAGAACCUUACCAGGUCUUGACAUCUUCUGCCAAUCUUAGAGAUAAGACGUUCCCUUCGGGGACAGAAUGACAGGUGGUGCAUGGUUGUCGUCAGCUCGUGUCGUGAGAUGUUGGGUUAAGUCCCGCAACGAGCGCAACCCUUAUUAUCAGUUGCCAGCAUUCAGUUGGGCACUCUGGUGAGACUGCCGGUGACAAACCGGAGGAAGGUGGGGAUGACGUCAAAUCAUCAUGCCCCUUAUGACCUGGGCUACGCACGUGCUACAAUGGGACGGUAC
rnacentral:rRNA from 1 species